rnacentral:tRNA from 2 species
GGGGCUGUAGCUCAGUUGGGAGAGCGCCUGCUUUGCAAGCAGGAGGUCAUCGGUUCGAUCCCGUUCAGCUCCACCA